rnacentral:rRNA from 1 species
CCUACGGGAGGCAGCAGUGGGGAAUAUUGCACAAUGGGCGCAAGCCUGAUGCAGCCAUGCCGCGUGUAUGAAGAAGGCCUUCGGGUUGUAAAGUACUUUCAGCGGGGAGGAAGGGAGUAAAGUUAAUACCUUUGCUCAUUGACGUUACCCGCAGAAGAAGCACCGGCUAACUCCGUGCCAGCAGCCGCGGUAAUAAU